AAUUAUGGACAAUUGGGGAAACCCUUAUCCCGCCAUCCCGCGUGUAAGCUGAAGGCCUUCGGGUUGUUAAGUUCUUUUGGCAGAGAAGAAAAGGUAUCUUAUAAUACGAGAUACUGAUGACGGUAUCUGUAGAAUAAGCACCGGUCAACUACGUUCCAGCAGCCGCGGUAAUACGCAGGGUGCAAGCGUCAAGCGGAAUUACUGCGGGUAAAGGGGGAGUAGGGGGUACGGAAAGAAAGAUGUGAAAACGCAGGGCUCAACCGUGAAACUGCAUUUUUAACUGACAAGCUGGAGUAUGAGAGAAGGGGGUAGAAUUCCACGUGUAGCAGUGAAAUGCGUAGAUAUGUGGAAGAAUACCGGUGGCGAAGGCAGGCCCCUGGGCUAAUACUGACGCUCAGACACGAAAGCGUGGGGAGCAAAC
rnacentral:rRNA from 1 species